UCUUAUUCAUAAUAAAAUGCUAAUAUAGGUUUAAAACCUACAUUAGCUAAAACGUUUGAUAGGCUUAAAACACUCUUAUAAACCUCUGAUAAAAAACGUUAUUCAUAAUCGUUUACAAACCUUUGAUAGCUAAAACAGAGUUUAAUAUUUUCUUUCCACAGACUAUACAAAAAGAAUGAACGAAAACAGCUUUUUUGGUGAUUUAACUUGAUGGACCAUGUAAAAUCAUAGACAAAUCGCAGAAAAAAAAAACAAAAAAUUGGCAGCUGUGACGUUUUACUUACUGACAUUGACAUUUGGCACGAAAAUUUAAUAAAGUUUUCGGUUUUUUUCGAUCAACUCCCAAGUUUUAUCAAACUUUUAUAAAACUUGGGAUUGUAUGUUCUGGAUUCUGUACCUCUUACCCUGUACUCUGCAAUAAGCUCUUACGACGACCCGGCUAGUUACAUCGGAUACUAAUUAUGUCCAUGACGAAGGAGAACAGACCGCCUAAAAGGCAACGAUCAGAAAACUGGUUGGAGGAAGAUAAGUAUUUGCUGAAAGAGUUGGUGAAAGAAAGAGUAAAUGCAAUCGAAAAUAAAAAUACAGACACUAACACGAAUAAACGGAAGGUUGCGGCUUGGGCUGAUUUACAAACAACGUUUAAUUCAAUGUGCGCUGGUAUGAACCGCUCCAUUACCCAGUUAAAAUCGCAAUGGAGCCUCAUAAAAAUCAGUGCGAAGAAAGACAAGACCAUUGCUAGGCAGGCUCAAAUUAAAACUGGCGGUGGUCCACCAUUAUCAGUGCCUGACGAUAGGGCUGAUGAUAUAGCAUCUUGGUUGCCCAAUGAAUUUGUAGUCGAUGUUAACAGAUUUGACUCGGACUCAAAUAAAAGUGAAUUAAUUAACAUUCAAGAGGAGGAAUCAACUCAAAAUACGCAAGAUCAGGAAUUGAUAAAUAAUGAAGAAAUCCAAUAUGAAUUGGUGGUACUUGAUGAAGAAAUAGAAGAUACACAUGCUUGUACUACUAGAGGCAUAUUGGAAGAUAAAGAAAAUAAAAAAGUAGAGGCAAAAGAAAAUAAAGCAAAACCUAAUUUUAAAGCACCAGCAAUCAAAAAAAAAAGGAAACUGUUAAACAAAGAAGGCUUAAUUGAUUUAAGCAAAGUUAGGAUUUCCGAAAUUGCAGAAACAGAAUCAAAAUGCCGGAUUGAACUGCAUGAAGUUCAAAUGGAAAACGAACGGAAGAAAGGGAGAAACUUGGAUCUUGAGCAUCAAUUAUUACAGGAAAAACUUAAAUAUUACACUCACAUUAAUAAAGAAUAAUAAGUCUUUUGAUGUUAAAGUUUUUCAAGUACUAACAGAUUCUAAAUAAUA